GGGCCCGUAGUCUAGCCCGGUUAUGACGUCGCCUUGACGUGGCGAAGAUCGCCGGUUCGAAUCCGGCCGGGCCCA
rnacentral:tRNA from 1 species